rnacentral:tRNA from 1 species
GGGCGAGUGGCGGAACUGGUAGACGCGCCGGUUUUAAAAACUGGGUACCUUGCGGGUUCGACUCCCGCCUCGCCCA